rnacentral:rRNA from 1 species
GAUGAACGCUGGCGGCGUGCUUAACACAUGCAAGUCGAACGAAGCACUUUAUUUGAUUUCCUUCGGGACUGAUUAUUUUGUGACUGAGUGGCGGACGGGUGAGUAACGCGUGGGUAACCUGCCUUGUACAGGGGGAUAACAGUUGGAAACGGCUGCUAAUACCGCAUAAGCGCACGGCAUCGCAUGAUGCAGUGUGAAAAACUCCGGUGGUAUAAGAUGGACCCGCGUUGGAUUAGCUAGUUGGUGAGGUAACGGCCCACCAAGGCGACGAUCCAUAGCUGACCUGAGAGGGUGACCGGCCACAUUGGGACUGAGACACGGCCCAAACUCCUACGGGAGGCAGCAGUGGGGAAUAUUGCACAAUGGGCGAAAGCCUGAUGCAGCGACGCCGCGUGAGCGAAGAAGUAUUUCGGUAUGUAAAGCUCUAUCAGCAGGGAAGAUAAUGACGGUACCUGACUAAGAAGCACCGGCUAAAUACGUG